rnacentral:snRNA from 1 species
CCACUUUUGAUGCAGCACUAUCAGCUUCUUAAAAAAUAAUGAAGGUGGUUUUCCCAGGGCGAGGCUUAUCCAUUGCACUCCGGAUGUGCUGACCCCUGCGAUUUCCCGAAAUGUGGGAAACUCAACUGCACAAUUUGUGGUAGUGGGGGACUGCGUUUGUGUUCUCCCCUA